AACGAACGCUGGCGGCAUGCCUAACACAUGCAAGUCGAACGAGAUCUUCGGGUCUAGUGGCGCACGGGUGCGUAACGCGUGGGAAUCUGCCCUAUGGUUCGGAAUAACAGUUGGAAACGACUGCUAAUACCGGAUGAUGACGAAAGUCCAAAGAUUUAUCGCCAGAGGAUGAGCCCGCGUAGGAUUAGCUAGUUGGUGUGGUAAAGGCGCACCAAGGCGACGAUCCUUAGCUGGUCUGAGAGGAUGAUCAGCCACACUGGGACUGAGACACGGCCCAGACUCCUACGGGAGGCAGCAGUGGGGAAUAUUGGACAAUGGGCGAAAGCCUGAUCCAGCAAUGCCGCGUGAGUGAUGAAGGCCUUAGGGUUGUAAAGCUCUUUUACCCGGGAUGAUAAUGACAGUACCGGGAGAAUAAGCUCCGGCUAACUCCGUGCCAGCAGCCGCAGUAA
rnacentral:rRNA from 1 species